UAAGGUGAGCGGCAAAAUAUGUCUUGGCGGCGAAGUUUCUUUGACAAACUUCUAACAAGAUGGACCGAGUGAUGUUUUGCCCGUUUUGUGGCAAUCACGUAAGCCGUUUAUCGCGGUUUUGUUUUUCAUGUGGUCGUGGUUUAGACUUUUUAAAAGUUGAAGACGAAGUGGAAGGGCCAAACGCACAGGGGUCGUCUAACGUUAAACAGCCGGAUGAAACUAAACCAACAGAAAAGCCUUGCCCAUCAUACAAACAGUUCCUGGAAUACAGAAGCGCAAAGUCAAAAGAACGACAGUCUUUUAACUAUGGGCCGAGAGGAAAACAUGGGGCUAAAGAAAGAAAAAACGUCCAGAUAAACAUCGGCUUGAUGGUGCCACAUGGAACUGAUUUGAAACCUCUUAGAGGGAAAACACUCCCAUUAUAUGUAGACCCAGAGGUAGCAGCACCUGAUGUACUGAAACAAGCUGUCCAGAAAAUGACAACAUUUAACAAGGACAUGCCAAAAGGACCGUACGUUCUUUUGCAUCCAGACUGCUCAGAGGUGGUCCAUGUGCCUGGAUCAGAAACACCAUUCAAAUUGGCAGAAUAUAAAAAGGAGCUUGGAAAGGCAUAUUCCAGGAUCACCUUUUACAUUUGCCUAGAAAAAGACUUUAAAGGAGCACCGGAUGAUACCUCAGACUCUGAUUCUGAAAUUAUCAUUGCAUCAAGGAGCACAGUUGAAUUCUACCAAGCUGACACUGUGAGAUGCACCGGGACAUUCAGCAACAAUUCAGCCUGGACAGAUAGUAAUAUCUGAUACUGAGGAUAUGGAUCCACUGGAAACAAAUCCAGAAAAGACUUCUUGCUACAGUAAAUACACAGACCUGUAUGCACCGGGUAUUGUGGAAGAGGACGAGGACGAGGAGCUGGUUGCAGUCCAUGUGGAGAAUUUCCAACACACAGCAGUGUAAAAUGAGCUUUUUACUGUGGCAUUCCAGUUUUUUCACUGUGCAAUAUUUGUAUUUUUUUAAUAUGAAUUCAUUCACAGCUGUUAGGGAGGAUGAAUACUACCUGGCAGGAAAGAUGAUUGCAGUGUCAGUUGUGCAUGGGGGUCCAGGACCCCAUUUCUUGUCAGAAGAUCUUGUACAUUAUCUUGCGGGCCAGCCUUCAUUCAAAUCAACAGUUAAUUCAAUAACUGAUGAAGAAACAGAGGAAGCUUUGCAAGAGGUGAGAAUAGAAUAAGCCUACAGUAUGAUAGGGCAGUUCUAUUUCGUCCCUACUGACCGCCAGGCGGUGCUGUAAGCACUGGAUAUCUUCCCUCGCGCAUGCGCAUGUCGAGUACAAUACCAACAAUGUCACGUCACCCGUGACCCCUGCAUGACCCCCGGAAGGGUAUAUCUUCCGGCGUCAGCAUGGGAUCUUCUCCUUAUUCUUCUCGCAUCGCGCGUCUGAAGUACAGGACGGAAAUAGGAGCUUUGUGAAAGCUUCUUCCUUUCCUCCCUAAAACCGCCGGCCCCCGUGCAGCUUCGUGCCGUAAGGUAGGAGUAACGAUCUCUGUCGUCCUCCAAGAGGCUGUGGCCGCGUGGUAUUUAUUGGUAUUUAUUGGUAUUUAUUGGUGUUCGUUGCGGCGGCGGCGCCUCCCCGCCCCGCCCCCCUGGCCCAGCUGACAGAAGGUAAGCUGUUGGCUGCGCCCGACACCUGAACAUUCUGUGCAGUUAUUUUUUCUGCUGAAAAAAAAAAAAAAAAAAAAGAAGACAGAAAGGGAUUAUUUUUUUCUUUGGAAAAAACAAUACAAACACCUUUUUUGGUCUUUCUUACAGCCGUGGUGAAGGCCACGCCCCUCUCCCACCGGCUCAUUUGUGGUGACGGCAGCGUUCGCUCCCUCUCCCACUUUAUUAAUGUGACAUUAUUUUUUCCUUGCAGAUUAUUUUUUUCUUUUGAAAAAAAAAAGGAAAAAAAAGGAGACAGAAAAGGAUUAUUUUUUUUCUUUUGAAAAAACAAUACAAACACCUUUUUUGGACUUUCUUACAGCCGUGGUGAAGGCCACGCCCCUCUCCCACCGGCUCAUUUGUGGUGACGGCAGCGUUUCGCUCCCUCUCCCACUUUAUUAAUGUGACAACAUUAUUUUUUCCUUGCAGAUUAUUUUUUUCUUUUGAAAAAAAAAAAAAAAAAAGGAAAGAAACGAGAGAGGAUUGUUCUCUUCUUUUUGAGUAAAGACGCCUAUUUUUGCCUUUUCUCAUAGCCGUGGUGACGGCAGCGUGGCCCUCCCCUCUCCCGCCUGCAUAUUGGCGGUGACAGCAGCGUGCUCGCUGUGGUGACGGCAGCGUUUCCGCUCCCCUCUCCCACUGACACACCUGUGUUGACGGUAGCGUGGCCCUCCCCUCUCCCGCCUGUAUAUUGGCGGUGACGGCAGCGUGCUCGCUGUGGUGACGGCAGCGUUUCCGCUCCCCUCUCCCACUGACACCUACGUGGUGAUGGCAGCUCGUCCGCUCCCUCUCCCACCGGCACAUCCGUGGUGACGGCAGCGUGACCGCUCCCCUCUCCCACCGACACAUUCGUGUGGACGGCAGCGUGACCGCUCCCACCGACACAUUCGUGUGGACGGCAGCGUGUCCGCUCGUCUCUCCUACCAGCACAUCCGUGGUGACGGCAGCGUGUUCGCUCCCUCUCCCACUGACACAUCCGUGCUGACGGUAGCGUGGCCGCUCCCCUCUCCCACCGGCAUAUUGGUGGUGACGGCAGCGUGCUCGCUGUGGUGACGGCAGCGUUUCCGCUCCCCUCUCCCACUGACACAUCCGUAUUGGCGGUAGCGUGGCCCUCCCCUCUCCCGCCGGCACAUUGGCGGUGAUGGCAGCGUGCUCGCUGUGGUGACUGCAGCGUUUCUGCUCCCCUCUCCCACUGACACAUCCGUGCUGACUGUAGCGUGGCCCUCCCCUCUCCCGCCUGUAUAUUGGCGGUGACGGCAGCGUGCUCGCUGUGGUGACGGCAGCGUUUCCGCUCCCCUCUCCCACUGACACCUACGUGGUGAUGGCAGCUCGUCCGCUCCCUCUCCCACCGGCACAUCCGUGGUGACAGCAGCGUGACCGCUCCCCUCUCCCACCGACACAUUCGUGUGGACGGCAGCGUGACCGCUCCCACCGACACAUUCGUGUGGACGGCAGCGUGUCCGCUCGUCUCUCCUACCAGCACAUCCGUGGUGACGGCAGCGUGUUCGCUCCCUCUCCCACUGACACAUCCGUGCUGACGGUAGCGUGGCCGCUCCCCUCUCCCACCGGCAUAUUGGUGGUGACGGCAGCGUGCUCGCUGUGGUGACGGCAGCGUUUCCGCUCCCCUCUCCCACUGACACAUCCGUAUUGGCGGUAGCGUGGCCCUCCCCUCUCCCGCCGGCACAUUGGCGGUGAUGGCAGCGUGCUCGCUGUGGUGACUGCAGCGUUUCUGCUCCCCUCUCCCACUGACACAUCCGUGCUGACGGUAGCGUGACCGCUCCCCUCUCCCGCCAGCAUAUUGGUGGUGACGGCAGCGUGCUCGCUGUGGUGACGGCAGCGUUUCCGCUCCCCUCUCCCACCGACACCUACGUGGUGACUGCAGCGCGUCCGCUCCCCUCUCCCACCGGCACAUCCGUGGUGACGGCAGCGUGACCGCUCCCACCGACACAUUCGUGUGAACGGCAGCGUGUCCGCUCCUCUCUCCUGCCAGCACAUCCGUGGCGACGGCAGCGUUUCCGCUCCCCUCUCCCACUGACACAUCCGUAUUGGCGGUAGCGUGGCCCUCCCCUCUCCCGCCGGCACAUUGGCGGUGAUGGCAGCGUGCUCGCUGUGGUGACUGCAGCGUUUCUGCUCCCCUCUCCCACUGACACAUCCGUGCUGACGGUAGCGUGACCGCUCCCCUCUCCCGCCAGCAUAUUGGUGGUGACGGCAGCGUGCUCGCUGUGGUGACGGCAGCGUUUCCGCUCCCCUCUCCCACCGACACCUACGUGGUGACUGCAGCGCGUCCGCUCCCCUCUCCCACCGGCACAUCCGUGGUGACGGCAGCGUGACCGCUCCCACCGACACAUUCGUGUGAACGGCAGCGUGUCCGCUCCUCUCUCCUGCCAGCACAUCCGUGGCGACGGCAGCGUGUCUGCUCCCUCUCCCACCGGUCGCUGUGAUGGAGCGUUCAUGCCCAGGGUGCAUGGCCGCCCUGGACCCUGCGGAUGACCAGGACCUCUGCGUGUCGUGCCUCGGCCCUGAGCCCCCCCCCCCCCCCCCCCAUCGAGCCCUCCAUUGCAGCACUGAUAGUGGCUCCUGAUGAGGCUCUGAAGCCAGAUCUCGAGUGCCCCUCUACCCAGAGUAGGGUUACUGAUUGGCAUAUUUGUAAGGCUUAUGAAACAGCGGCACGCAUCGGCCGGCUGGGGAACACCCUUUCCCAUCUUCUGCUGGCUCUCUCCACCUCCCUGCAGGAUGCACGGGUGGAGGAUUCCACACGGGACAUGUGUGACAUAUCCCUACAGGCUUUUUGCCUCCCAAACGAGGGAACUGGGGCGGCUGAUGUCCACCCUGGUGCACACGCGCCGUCAUGUCUGACUGGCGCAGUCACCCCUGACGGAGACUGCUCGUAGGGUUCUUCGUCGGGCACCGGCAGAGCCGGGGGAGCUGUUUGGGGCAACUGCCCUGGAAGCUCUGAACCGCACCGCCCUGGCCGAUGAGACCAGGCAGCGGCUGGUGUACCUUCACAGGGGUGCGGCCGCUUCCUGUACACCGGGAGGCCCUUCACCGGCCCCCGGGCUUCGCCCCCGGCCGCCUGCCCACUGCGGCCGGCGCGGCUUUCAGCGGUCUGUGAGUCAGCCUGCUGGUGACUUUCGCCCCCCUGUGCGCGGACCGUCCCACCAGCGUCGGGGCGUUGAUCCCGACCGUCGCCCCCCCGGGACGUCCGGAGCCCGGGGGAGACGGCGCUAAGGCCACGGAGCCGGUCGUCAGCUACUUUUCCGGCAGCAGCUCGGUUACUGGGCUGCCUGCUCAUUGGGGCCCGGGUGGUUUCCACCCUAGCCCAGGGGUACGUAUUGCAGUUCCGACACCGGCCUCCUACCUCCGGCCGGGUUGAGAUGACCAUCGUCAGAGACCCGGCAAACAUUCCGGCUCGGGCUCAGGUGUUGCCCGCCCUACUGGCCAAGAGCGCCAUCAUGCCGGUGGACCCCCCGCCGCGGCCUGGGGGUUCUACUUGAGCUACUUUCUCGUCAGCAAGAGAGACGACGGACAUCGUCCCAUCUUGGACCUGAGGGACCUCGACGAAUACAUGAAGGUCCUGCCCUUCCGGAGGCUUGACCACAGCAGAUGCUCUGCGUUGAUCAGGAGGAAGUUGUUUGCAACUGUGGACCUACAGGGCGCUUGUUUCACGUGCCGGUCGCGGCACGUCACCGGUGGUUCCGGGGGUUCGCCUACCGGGGCCACCGUUGUCGGUUCAGGGUGCUCCUGUGCGGGCUCUCCCUGUCACCGAGGAUUUUUUUCACCAGGUGCGUGAUGGCAACCCUUGCCCCUCUUAUACCUUUGGGCCUGCUGUCGCUACGCCCCCUGCAAUGUGGCUGGACAGCCUCGCCUGGAUGCCAAGAGGCACGGGCGCAGGCUGGUCAGGGUUUCGCGGGUGUGUGUCUAUACCCUUGCACCCUGGAAAGGCGGGACAUUCCGGCUGAGGGGUGUGCCCUUAGGCGCUGUCCCCUCCCUGCCGGGAGGCUGUCAUCAGUAGUCCUCCCGGGUCCGCACGCGCCACAUCAACGUGCUGGAGCUCUGGGCUCUGCACUUCACACUAACAUUUUUUGCAACUCCUGUGGGGGAGGCACGUGCCGGGUCGGUCGGACGGUGUGCCCACUGUUCCUUGAUCGGCCACCAGAGGGGGCCCCGACUCUGCACAGCUGCUGCAGGUGUCCCGGGGCCUCCUAGCGUGGACAGCUCCUCGCCUGCCCGGCCUUCGGGCGAUGUUCCUGCCUGGAGACAGGAACCGGGUGACGGACUUCCUCUCCCGGCGCAAGCCGCCUUUGCAGAGGGUCCUCCAGAGGGCUCACGGGCUCCUCUUGGUGGCCCCCUUCCGACCGGGGAAACAUAGUUUCCACUGCUGCGGAGGCUCUGCUGCGACACAACAUGACGCCCUCCAGAGGGACCGUCUUUUCCAGCCGGGGAUUCAGGUUUGCACCCCGACCCCGUCGCUUUGGCUCUGAGUCUGGCCGCUGCGGCGCCGGACCCAUUGUUGUCAAGCUGUCCUGAACCCGCCAGGGCUGGCAUCUCGAAUGCCCAUGUGCCUCCCACCCGCCUCUGGUAUGAGUGCGAGUGGGGGAGAUUCUCUGCCUGGUGUGCAGACGGGGCAGAGGACCCUGUUCUUUGCCCCGUGGCCACGAUCCUGGGGUCCCUUUCGGUCCCUCCUGGAUGGUGGCCGUGCUCAGUCCGCUUUAAAGGUGUAUGUGGCGGUCAUUUCAUCGCAACAUGCCCUGGUUGAGAAUGCCACCGUGGGGAGCCACCGGCUGGUUUCUCUUUCUCAGGGGGGCUCUGAGGCUGCCCCCCCCCCGAGGAGCCCGAAGGCCCCGGUUUUCGAUUCCAUUCGAUUUUUGUAUAGCGUCUAAUACAACAGAUGUUGUCUCUAGACGCUUUCCAGAUGUUGGGCUCAGCCCAUGUGAAAGUAGGAGGAUGAAUUCAUACUAUGUGUGAUCUGAGAAAAAUUACAUUGCCAUCAAAUUCCAGCAAAGCCAGACCCGGCCUCCCCCCCUGGAGUUUAUGAUCCCGCUGCUAUCUUCUCGCUCAGGCCAAUUUAUAACCCUGGUGGCCUGGUUCGAGAUGGCCUGUAUGUGACCCACGAUACGGCCCCACAUCAAAGGGGCGCCCACGGAAACAGAACUCAGGUUUAUGACACCUAGAGGGGGGUCAAAAAAAGCGAAUCAGCAGGAUUUCUGCCAGGUACAGGCUCCCCGAGGGUUUAUGGCACCUGGGGGGGUCAGACACCCGGAGCCCGAGCGCCAGGCCUCGAUCGGCCAGGAGGAUUGGUUGGCACUGCCUGUGAUCAGUCCCACCCCCAAAGAGACUACAAAAAGGAGCAACCACCUGAUGCUCCUCUGCUUUUUUUUCCGUCUCGUUCUUAUUUAGUUUCUCCGCUUUUUCUUCGUUUCUCUGCUUUUUUACGUUUUUCAGUUUGCUCAUAUUUUUUUGGCAUCAGGCCAAAACCUGGAGUGUGGCUCCAAAGUUUUCUUUUUCUUCUUUUUUAUUUUUCCCUGUUCACUUUUCCGUCUGCCCGGCCUUUUUGCCUGCUGGCAGAGGUGAGACUUUUCCUAGCCCGACUCCCACAUCCAACCAGCGCAGAAUCCGCUCCGCGGACCCUGCCAGCCGACUCAGUGGACGCCACCGCGGUGAAACGGUCUUUCCCGGAGCAUCCCGACAUCGGGGCCCGGCGCCGACCGCGACAAAGGACCACUGGAGAUCUCACGCUGGUAAUAGGGUCGCCGGUCCUGCAAACCUGCCCUGUGUUCCUUUUCCUCAGAGUCGGACGGGGUGAGACGGAGUCCCCCCCCUCCCGGGUGCGCGCAAGGAGCGUUUAUACUGCACCCACGGGCUGGACGAAACCCCCCUCCUCCUCCUCCUCAAACAGAGCGGCUCUCUCACCUACUGCAAAAUUGAGAAUGCUGCUUCAUUGGAUGCUCUGCGUGAAUCUAUCAUGAGACACAGCACAAUGUUACAGACAGCAGGUAGUCUGAGACGUGUCUGCUGUGGAAGAAAAGAAAGAAUUGGUGGCAGACUACCUCCCAUGGUAUAUUAUUGACUGCAACUCAUCUGUUAUUGACAGUGGCACUCUGUUCCUUCUCUCUUAAUUGCACCACUUCCUAAGAUUCAAAGAUGGUCUCUCAGCCCUUCAGUUUUUGCAUGCACUCCAGCAACACCCUGCUUUGGUGGUCCCUGUCCUUUGCCACUCAGAAAAGCGACUCAGUGGCAUGGAAGUUGAGAGACUCUUCAGACCUGACCUCAGUCCUUCAGGGAGUAACAGGAGACUGAAAGAAAGUCAAACCUUGGCCUACUGGGCAGACUAUCUCCUUGAUUGUGAAGAAGGCCAGGCUGCUGUGUCUGUGGAGGAUGUGUUGAUGUUUGCAACUGGGCUGACUUCACUUCCCCCAUCUGGCUUGGAACCACUGCCACAAAUGGAGUUCUUGGAUGACUCUCCCUUCCCAAUGUCAAAUACAUGUUCAAACUCAUUGAAAUUACCACUCCUAGAGUCAUACAGUGUGUUCAAGUCACAAAUGGACUUUGGUAUUCAAAAUAGUCCAGGAUUCGGCUGUUUCUAAACCAUGAUGACCCCUAGAGCUCAGACUCUAAAAAUGUUUCUGUUGUUGUUAAGAUGCACCUAAAGGUGCAGUUGCUAAUGUUAAAGCUGUAGCUAGUUAGCAUUUUACAAUUGUUAUAAUGACCCAUUAUACUCAAACUGGUCUGUUUGUGAGUAGCUGUUUUAGAUAAAAUAAACACGAGAUUUCAA